rnacentral:rRNA from 1 species
GUGGGGAAUUUUGGACAAUGGGCGCAAGCCUGAUCCAGCCAUGCCGCGUGCAGGAUGAAGGCCUUCGGGUUGUAAACUGCUUUUGUACGGAACGAAACGGUCCGGGUUAAUACCCUGGGCUAAUGACGGUACCGUAAGAAUAAGCACCGGCUAACUACGUGCCAGCAGCCGCGGUAAUACGUAGGGUGCAAGCGUUAAUCGGAAUUACUGGGCGUAAAGCGUGCGCAGGCGGUUUUGUAAGACAGGCGUGAAAUCCCCGGGCUCAACCUGGGAAUUGCGCUUGUGACUGCAAGGCUGGAGUGCGGCAGAGGGGGAUGGAAUUCCGCGUGUAGCAGUGAAAUGCGUAGAUAUGCGGAGGAACACCGAUGGCGAAGGCAAUCCCCUGGGCCUGCACUGACGCUCAUGCACGAAAGCGUGGGGAGCAAACAGGAUUAGAAACCCCUGUAGUCC